CAGCCGCCGCGGUAAUACAGAGGGUGCAAGCGUUAAUCGGAAUUACUGGGCGUAAAGCGCGCGUAGGUGGUUUGUUAAGUUGGAUGUGAAAGCCCCGGGCUCAACCUGGGAACUGCAUCCAAAACUGGCAAGCUAGAGUACGGUAGAGGGUGGUGGAAUUUCCUGUGUAGCGGUGAAAUGCGUAGAUAUAGGAAGGAACACCAGUGGCGAAGGCGACCACCUGGGCUCAUACUGACACUGAGGUGCGAAAGCGUGGGGAGCAAACAGGAUUAGAUACCCGCGUAGUCCCUGUCUCUUAUAC
rnacentral:rRNA from 1 species